rnacentral:rRNA from 1 species
UGUUCCUACGGGGCGCAGCAGUGAGGAAUAUUGGUCAAUGGCCGGAAGGCUGAACCAGCCAAGUCGCGUGAGGGAAUAAGGCCCUAUGGGUCGUAAACCUCUUUUGUCAGGGAGCAAAGGCGUCCACGUGUGGACGAGAGGAGAGUACCUGAAGAAAAAGCAUCGGCUAACUCCGUGCCAGCAGCCGCGGUAAUACGGAGGAUGCGAGCGUUAUCCGGAUUUAUUGGGUUUAAAGGGUGCGUAGGCGGGCAUUUAAGCCGGCGGUCAAAGGUCGGGGCCCAACCCCGGGCUG